CCCUGCGCCGCCGUCGCACCGUGCCCUCCCCCAUUGCGGGCUCUGUCAUUCUCAAACCCAGGUCGACCCACUCUUCCCGCCCACUGGCCCGCCGCAGCUCCCUCCAUUGGCUCGCGGCACCUGUCCGUUUCCUGGGAGAGUUCAGCACCUCCCGGCAGGAAGAGGCUCCGGCCUCAUUGGCCUUUUAGGCCCAUUGGGAUGUUCAUUAGAACUCUGAAAACUACAGUUCUCCCCUUUAUGAGGACUGCACCACAGCUCGCCCUCUCCUGGGUUCCGAAACAAGGUCUCACUGUGUCACCCAGGCUGGAGAGCAGUGGCACGAUCAUAGCUCACUGAUCACAUGGCAGCCUCAAACUCCUGGACUCAGUGGGUCCUCCUGCCUCAGCAUCCUGAGUAGCUGGGACUACAGCCUGGUUGCAGAGUGAGCCCAUGGGACAGCCCUCUGAAAUUAUACUGCUUACAACCAUGCUGAGUCUGCAAGGACUUCGUCCAAGCCUUUCCGUCCAGGACCUCAAACAGAUCCAAUCACAAGAAGAGAGAUUUCAGGAAAGAGAAAAUUAUUCCUAUCAUCGGGGUUUUUGAAGAACAUGAAAUGACUGGGAAAAUAAUCAUGUUAAGUGGAAAAAAAAAAGAAAUCUAUCUGUUGUAAUUUUCAAAUAAUUUUUAAAUAAAUUUGAAAAAUUAA
rnacentral:lncRNA from 1 species